UACGUAGGGUGCGAGCGUUGUCCGGAAUUAUUGGGCGUAAAGAGCUUGUAGGCGGUUUGUCGCGUCGGCUGUGAAAGCCCGGAGCUCAACUCCGGGUCUGCAGUCGAUACGGGCAGACUUGAGUGUUGCAGGGGAGACUGGAAUUCCUGGUGUAGCGGUGAAAUGCGCAGAUAUCAGGAGGAACACCGGUGGCGAAGGCGG
rnacentral:rRNA from 1 species